GGCCUGUUGAUUAUAAUUUCAGGUYUGACCUGCCCGAUGAUAAAAAUUGAAUGGCCGCGGUAUAUUGACCGUGCAAAGGUAGCAUAAUCAUUAGUUUUUUAAUUGAAAGCUUGUAUGAAAGGUUUGAUGAGAAAUUUUCUGUCUCUACAAAAAUUUAUUAGAAUUUUAUUUUUAAGUAAAAAAGCUUAAAUGUACAUGGAAGACGAGAAGACCCUAUAGAGUUUUAUAUAAAAACUUAGAGAAAUUUAAAAGGUAAAAAGUUUUUCUAAGUUUUUAUAUUUUGUUGGGGCGAUAGAAAAAUUGGUUAAACUUUUUUUUCAUAGAAACAUUAAUUUAUGAUUUAUUGAUCCUAAUUUUUAGAUUAAAAGAUUAAAUUACCUUAGGGAUAACAGCGUAAUUUUUUUUAGAGUUCUUAUCGAAAAGAAAGAUUGCGACCUCGAUGUUGGAUUAAAAUAAAUAGUUGGUGAAGAAGCUAGCGUGAAUUAGGUCUGUUCGACCUUUAAAAUUUUACAUGAUCUGAGUUUAAACCGGCGUGAG
rnacentral:rRNA from 1 species